ACGCUGGCGGCAGGCUAACAAUGCAAGUCGAGCGCACUCGUGAGCGGCGGACGGGUUAUAACGCGUGGGAACAUACCCUUUUCUACGGAAUAGCCUCGGGAAACUGAGAGUAAUACCGUAUAAGCCCUUCGGGGGAAAGAUUUAUCGGGAAAGGAUUGGCCCGCGUUAGAUUAGAUAGUUGGUGGGGUAAUGGCUCACCAAGGCAACGAUCCGUAGCUGGUCUGAGAGGAUGAUCAGCCACAUCGGGACUGAGACACGGCCCGAACUCCUACGGGAGGCAGCAGUGGGGAAUAUUGGACAAUGGGGGCAACCCUGAUCCAGCCAUGCCGCGUGUGUGAAGAAGGCCCUCGGGUUGUAAAGCACUUUCAGCGAGGAAGAACGCCUGGCGGUUAAUACCCGCCAGGAAAGACAUCACUCGCAGAAGAAGCACCGGCUAACUCCGUGCCAGCAGCCGCGGUGAUACGGAGGGUGCAAGCGUUAAUCGGAAUUACUGGGCGUAAAGCGCGCGUAGGUGGCUUGAUAAGCCGGUUGUGAAAGCCCCGGGCUCAACCUGGGAACGGCAUCCGGAACUGUCAGGCUAGAGUGCAGGAGAGGAAGGUAGAAUUCCCGGUGUAGCGGUGAAAUGCGUAGAGAUCGGGAGGAAUACCAGUGGCGAAGGCGGCCUUCUGGACUGACACUGACACUGAGGUGCGAAAGCGUGGGUAGCAAACAGGAGUUAGAUACCCUGGUAGUCAUGCCGUAAACGAUGUCGACCAGCCGUUGGGUGCCUAGCGCACUUUGUGGCGAAGUUAACGCAUAAGUCGCCGCCUGGGGAGUACGGCCGCAAGGUAAAACUACAAAUGAAUGUUGCCG
rnacentral:rRNA from 1 species